GGGGAUUUAGCUCAGUGGUAGAGCGCUUGCCUAGCAAGUGCAAGGUCCUGGGUUCGGUUCCCAGCUCCA
rnacentral:tRNA from 1 species